CUCCCCAUAUAUUCUACAUGGUACCACAUUGCUUACAUGUCACCGCCUGCGCACUACCACAUGUGGAAAAACACGGGAAAUUAAUGUGGCUUUCUAUGUAACUAGAUGUCAGCCAUGGGUUCCCUCACCUGCUGGAUGUCUCCUCUCCCCUCAGCAGAACGGCCCUGCAGGUGUCUGACAUGGACCCUGGGGUACUACAAGAUUAUUUUCCUUUAGCAGCGUCAUCAGGCAGUGCAAGCUCAGCUCUGGUGACAGAUGAAGGGACUAACUGUGCAUGUGAUGGACUGCAACUUGCAAAACAACACCAGAGGGCUAAACAAUCUAGAAAUAAGCAUCAGGAUUACUGGAGCUGUCAUGUCUUGUGUAUUUAAAAUGUUAUAAGUUCACAUAUUUGCAGAAUACAAAAAUCACAUGUGAUUUUGUGAGUCCAGCGUGCUAGUAGUGCCAGAAAGCUGUCAUACAACAAUCAGCUGUAAUGAACCAGAACUGGAACAAAAUUGUCAUCUAUACUGUAAUGAGAUCAACAAAAGUGGGACAUUGUGUAACUUUAUGGACUGAAAAUAAAAAAUUAUGUUUGCUGA